UGUGUGGGGGCAUCUAGAUAAGGCGCGCGUACUGGCUGUUGAGUGCACAGGUGUUUUAGUCAGGGUGUGGCGAUAAUCUGGAAUUACGUCUUCUGGGCUGAGGGCUCGCUGCUGAAGAAAGAAGAAGUAGGAUGUGGAGCUCUACAGUGAGCAUAUGGAAGAAAGAGAAGGAGGAAGAGGCUGACUACGGAUGGGCAAAGGGAGAGGCUCCCUGGGCAAAAGGAAGAAGCGGGACGCGGAGCUUCGAGGCAACUGCGGGGAAGAGGCGGAAGGAAGAGGCCGACUACGGACGGGCAAAGGGAAGAAGAGGAAGGAAGA